UUUCUGGCGGGAGCGGGUGGUCCGGCACUUUGUGUUGGUACUUUCCUGUCUCUUGCCAUCCUUGGGUCUAAGCUGUCUGGCAUUUAGUUGUCGGGCAGUGGCUGCCCAUCGUUUACUGUGAAAAAAUUAGAGUGUUCAAAGCAGGCUUAUGCCGUUGAAUAUAUUAGCAUGGAAUAAUAAGAUAGGACCUUGGUACUAUUUUGUUGGUUUGCGCACCGAGGUAAUGAUUAAGAGGGACAGUUGGGGGUAUUCGUAUUCAAUUGUCAGAGGUGAAAUUCUUGGAUUUCUGGAAGACGAACUACUGCGAAAGCAUUUACCAAGGAUGUUUUCAUUAAUCAAGAACGAAAGUUAGGGGAUCGAAGAUGAUUAGAUACCAUCGUAGUCUUAACCAUAAACUAUGCCGACUAGGGAUUUGUGGGUGUUAUUUUUGACCCCAUGAGCACCUUAUGAGAAAUCAAAGUCUUUGGGUUCCGGGGGGAGUAUGGUCGCAAGUCUGAAAC
rnacentral:rRNA from 1 species